AUCAUUGUCGUCAUUGUUGCGGUGAUCACCGUCCUCAUCAACAGAACAACAGCCCACCUCUACUGAAGAGCAACGACCGAACCACGAACCAUGCUGGACCCAUGGAUUUGAGAAAGAAUAAGAAGGAAAGAGGGCAGUCAUCUGUGACUUGAUGCUACUGUAGAUGUCUAUGCUGCUGUGCUCCCUUCAGUCAUUUUUGAGUACUUUUCCACUUAAAAUACAUGCAUUUAAAAUGAAACAAAACCCAGAAAAUCUAGAAUUUACUAUUCUGCUGUGUCAUAUAAAUAUUCAGUUGAAUACUGGAACUGUGAUAUGACACUUUCUAUCAUCUUCAGCAUUUCCAAGAUUUUUAACUUGACGCUUAGCUGUUAUUAAAAGCCUACAUCAUAUCAAAAGCAGCAGCAGUUCUGAAGUGUUACUCUAAGUUAACUGCUUCUGCUUUGCUUUAAAAGAAAACAGAACCCAAAUCUCUGGUGCAACCCUUGUUACCCAUUUACUUGUCCUACUAUUCUGCUGAAUUUGCUCCUCUGUUUUAAUACAUCUUGUACUGUAAUGGCUUCUUUCAAUUCUUACUGUUUCUUUCAUAUACCAGCCUUCUUACCCUGUUUGAAAGCUUUUCAAAGAAAUGUGCACUAUACUACCUUCAGAAGCUCACCACAUUCUGGAACUGAUGAAAAGAAGGGAAGGGCACCGAAUUAAAAAUCACCCUGUACUCUCAGGCAUCGAGAUUUUCAAUUUAGCAAAUGUCAGCAGAGGAAUCCUUGCUUCUUCUAGCUGCCACAGUGAGCCGUGUGGAGGGCUGGAAGACACGCUGCUCACCUGGUCAAAUGGUGGUAAUUCAACACUCUUUUCUCAUCAUAUUGGCAAAUUCUCCCCUUGUCAUCUUACCUUAAAUUCUAAGCAAACCAAAAAAAGUCUGCUUAUGCUUACCAGGCAGGUUUCAUCCACAUUUUACAGUUAUAAUUAAAAGCUACAUUUUGAUUAAGGACAUUAUGAAUUACAAUAAAGUGCAAAGAACAUGCAAAAUGAAUAAUUAACAUUGUAUAGACUUCAGCAUCAUAAUUAAGAUUAAAUACUACAUAUAUUCAAACUGGAUUAGCACAUUCACUGAAAGCUGUAAUAUGCUCAGUAGGAGAGUCUAUGCAUUCACAAAAUAAUGUUUUAUGAGGAGUAUUCUAGCAACAUUAAGCAUAAGGUUGUCAUAUAUAAAAUGAUUAACGUUUUGUAUAAAAGAAGCUGUAAUUCCAGUAAAUGAAGUCAUUUCAUCUCCCUGCUGCUUCUACCUUUAGGAAUAUACUGUAAAUGAAAAGUGGCUCAAUGUGAAGUCUAGUUAAAUAGAAUAUGAAUCCUCUUGUUUGAAGUUAAUGAGACUUGGAAACCUGCAUUUAAAAAAAAUGUUGUGAUUUUAAAUCACCGAUUUCAUUAAAAUUUGCAUACAGCACAAACAUUUUUGUUCUACUAACACUUCUAUGUUCUUAGCCGCAUAACUCAGAAUGUCUCAUUGCUUUUCCUCAUCUUUCUUUGCAAUGUGUCCCCCACUUGCAGCUAUUUCUCAACAGAUCUCAAUCCUCCAUAAUGCUUUCAGCAGAUGUGUGGCUAUCAUUAGCUCCAAAGAAAAUGCAGUGCUUCCACUUAAGCGAACGCUUAAGAAGGCAUUGUUGAAAGCUAGGAAGUAUACUGCUUUUAGGAAUGUGGCUGUUCAUCGUCAAGGACUUGCUUCUUUCUAAUGGAGAAGAUCAUCCAACCCACUAGUUUUAUGCUUUUGUUGCCUCUUUUUAUGUUUUUAUUAAAAAAAAAAUUAAAAAGAAGUUUUAUUAUCUAUAUGAAUUAGCUAUAUUAUAUACAGUCCCUCUUGACUCAGUGUGGCCCACGCAGGCCAAAAGGCUGGACACCCAUGGUAAAAGAACCUGCAAGAACUGGAAGUUGUUGAAGUGUGAAUCGUCCACCGUGCUCCAACAGAACAGCCAUGAGAAAAGAGACUCCUUGGCUACUAAUUACGCAGUCCUUUUGUCGAGGCCGAGUACACACAGAUUGCUGGGGCACUGCUUGAGCAGAGAAGCAUCCGUCUGCAGAGGGGGUGCUGACAAGCUGCCAGCUGCUCCAAGCUGAUAGAUCAAAGGAGAAAUAGGCUGUAGUUUUCUCCUCAAGACAAGACAGUGAGAUUAAAUCAUGUCUAUGGAAAGGAGCGCCAGGAAUGUCAGAGAUAACGCAAUAUAUAUGUUGGUAUGUACUGUUUUAAAUGUAUUUCAUCUAAAAAAGUAGCUGUUCUUCAGCUGCUUCAAAGUGAGCUU
ensembl:lncRNA